CCAGAUGCAAUCCCCGUGGACCUCUGUUGGGGAACACAGGAAGAAUUUUCCCCUCAUGUCUGCAGGGAGCAUUUUCCAGCCAGAAUGCAUAAACCAUUGAGAAUAUCUCCCAUGGAGUCCGCUGAGAGGGAGAAUUUUAAAGAUUCCUCUUACCUCCCCACUGCAAGAUCCUGUUUGUCCCCCAGGAGUGGGUUAAUAUGUUAGCCAUGCACUGUUCUCAGCAGAAGUCAUUGAAGUGGCAAUUGCAAAGGUCUUAUAGAUAAGUGUAUCUGGUGAUGAUGCAUUCAUUUUACCAUCCUAACCAGUGAGAAGCAGCAGAUCAGACAUAUUUUGGUUAUGAACAAUGCCAGAAGUUUCUGGUCAAUGAAAAGAAAUUGCUAAGGAAGACAGCUUAUUAGUGCCAAGAACUGUGAUUUCUGUAAGCUGGCUUGUUUUGAGACCAAUUUGGGUAUAAUUUUAAACCCAAGCACAAUUUUGUAUGAUGUUUUAGAAAAGUGUGGAAUUUUUUAUUUUA
rnacentral:lncRNA from 1 species